AGAUAAAUGCAAGUGAAAUUCAAAGAUUUUCAGAUUUUCCAUUGUCAAAGAAAACCCUAAAAGGAUUGCAGGAAGCUCAGUAUCGUGUGGUAACGGAGAUACAGAGGCAAACCAUAGGUUUGGCUUUACAAGGUAAAGAUGUACUGGGAGCUGCAAAGACUGGAUCAGGCAAAACCUUGGCUUUUAUUGUCCCAGCUUUGGAACUCCUGUAUCGCCAUCAGUGGACUUCAGCUGAUGGACUGGGAGUUUUGAUCAUAUCGCCUACCCGGGAACUGGCGUAUCAAACCUUCAAGGUUCUGCGUAAAGUGGGAAAGAAUCAUGAGUUCUCA